AGAGUUUGAUCCUGGCUCAGGACGAACGCUGGCGGCGUGCCUAACACAUGCAAGUCGAGCGAGUGAAUCUCCUUCGGGAGUGAAGCUAGCGGCGGACGGGUGAGUAACACGUGGGCAACCUGCCUCAUAGAGGGGAAUAGCCUUUCGAAAGGAAGAUUAAUACCGCAUAAGAUUGUAGCUUCGCAUGAAGUAGCAAUUAAAGGAGCAAUCCGCUAUGAGAUGGGCCCGCGGCGCAUUAGCUAGUUGGUGAGGUAACGGCUCACCAAGGCGACGAUGCGUAGCCGACCUGAGAGGGUGAUCGGCCACAUUGGGGCUGAGAUACGGCCCAGACUCCUACGGGAGGCAGCAGUAGGGAACAUUGGGCAAUGGGCGCAAGCCUGACCCAGCAACGCCGCGUGAGGGAAGAAGGUUUUCGGAUUGUAAACCUCUGUCCUAUGUGACGAAGGAAGUGACGGUAGCAUAGGAGGAAGCCCCGGCUAACUACGUGCCAGCAGCCGCGGUAAUACGUAGGGGGCGAGCGUUGUCCGGAAUUACUGGGCGUAAAGGGUGCGUAGGCGGUUUGGUAAGUUGGAUGUGAAAUACCCGGGCUUAACUUGGGGGCUGCAUCCAAUACUGUCGGACUUGAGUGCAGGAGAGGAAAGCGGAAUUCCUAGUGUAGCGGUGAAAUGCGUAGAUAUUAGGAGGAACACCGGUGGCGAAGGCGGCUUUCUGGACUGUAACUGACGCUGAGGCACGAAAGCGUGGGGAGCAAACCAGGAUUAGAUACCCUGGUAGUCCACGCCGUAAACGAUGAAUACAAGGUGUAGGGGGUAUAGACUCCCUCUGUGCAGCGGCAAACGCUAUAAGUAUUCCCCCCUGGGGGGUACGGCCGCAAGGUUGAAACUCAAAGGAAUGGACGGGGGGCCCGCACAAGCAGCGGAGCAUGUGGUUUAAUUCGACGCAACGCGAAAAACCUUUCCAAGACUUGUCACCCUACUAAACUCAUGGAAACAUGAGGUGACUUCGGUCGAGUAGAGACAGGUGGUGCAUGGUUGUCGUCAGCUCGUGUCGUGAGAUGUUGGGUUAAGUCCCGCAACGAGCGCAACCCCUGUUGCCGGUUACCAGCGAGUAAAGUCGGGGACUCCGGUGAGACUGCCGAGGACAACUCGGAGGAAGGUGGGGAAGACGUCAAAUCAUCAUGCCCCUUAUGACCUGGGCUACACACGUACUACAAUGGAUGUUAACAGAGGGAAGCAAGACAGCGAUGUGGAGCAAACCCCUAAAAACAUUCUCAGUUCAGAAUGCAGGCUGCAACCCGCCUGCAUGAAGAUGGAAUUGCUAGUAAUCGCGGAUCAGCAUGCCGCGGUGAAU
rnacentral:rRNA from 1 species